CUACCAAAGAGCCCGGAAUAACCGGCCGAAAGGCUGGCUAAUACUGGAUAGUUCAAGCCUGUUGUAAUGGCAGGAUUGGGAAAGGGAGCGGGCAACCGCCUUCACUUUUUGAUGAGCCCGCGUCUGAUUAGCUAGUUGGUAGGGUAAUGGCCUACCAAGGCUGAGAUCAGUAGCUGGUCUGAGAGGAUGAUCAGCCACACUGGAACUGAAACACGGUCCAG
rnacentral:rRNA from 1 species